GGAUGUAAGGGCGGUCAGGCUGCGACAUCUGUCACCCCAUUGAUUGCCAGGAUUGAUUCGGCUGAUCUGCAUGGCUAGGCAGGUGUCCCCUUCCUCCCUCACCACUCCAUGUGUGUCUCUCCUGAAGCUCUGUGCUCGGUUGAAGGGACAAUCUUCCCCGAUAGAGGAGGGCCAGUCUUCAAUCAAGGGUAUAUGAGUAGCUGUGCUCCCCUGAUAGAACCUCCAAGCAAGCUCCCAAGAAUACAAUUGCAUAAUAGAGGUAUUGAUAGAACCACCUGAGAACAGAAGAAAGCAUCUCUUGGU
rnacentral:snRNA from 1 species